rnacentral:rRNA from 1 species
AUUGAACGCUGGCGGCAGGCCUAACACAUGCAAGUCGAGCGAGCGGCGGACGGGUGAGGAAUGUCUGGGAAACUGCCUGAUGGAGGGGGAUAACUACAGGAAAAGGUAGCUAAUACAGCAUACCAUCAGAUGUGCCCAGAUGGGAUUAGCUAGUAGGUGGGGUAACGGCUCACCUAGGCGGCGAUCCCUAGCUGGUCUGAGAGGAUGACCAGCCACUCUGGAACUGAGACACGGUCCAGACUCCUACGGUAGUCAGCAGUGGGGAAUAUUGCACAAUGGGCGCAAGCCUGAUGCAGCCAUGCCGCGUGUUGGAAGAAGGCCUUCGGGUUGUAAAGCACUUUCAGCGGGGAGGCGUUACCCGCAUAAGAAGCACCGGCUAACUCCGUGACAGCAGCCGCGGUAAUUC